AUUUUAAUUUGUAUGUACAAGCAGCAGAGGAAUUAUUAAUAGCAGUAGAAGAUUGUACUAGCAGUAGUAGUAAGUUAGGUUGAUAACCUUUAAAGGCAAAAAACACAAAAAGAAAUAUUCAUUAAUUUAAGGACAUUUUCAAAUUAAAUAUAUAAUUUCAUUGUAGUGAUUGUACCCACAUCAUAAAUAGCAAUGUGAUUUAACUAAGUCUAAGGAUUAACUUCUCCCAGCAAAA